AACCAGCCCAUAUUUUCGUCUUUUGUCAUCGGGCGUAACCAUCGAGGCCUAUUGCCAUCGAAAUGGCACCAUCGUGCAGCAGCCUGGAGAGUCCUGGAAUAAUGUACACAGUGCCUGGAAGAUAUAAGAAUUUGUUAGAUACGUACGUCAUCAUCCAGAGUACAGUUGGCAGGUUGGUAUCCCGUACAAAAAUCGACGACCAGCCUUAAAAGAACGUGUGGUUUGGGUUUUGAGUCGUCCUCGCCUCUCCUAUACACUCCUCUCUACCGGCAACCGAAGUUAAACUGCCGAGGUGGUGAUUGAUGACUCCGGUCUACCUAAUGAUCGGCCACUGAAGACCACGUCUUUGACCGGGAAUUAAAGGGCUGAUUACUCAAGCGCCGCACCCUUGGCCAAACUAGGUGGCGACCUUAAGUUAACUACUUGCUGCUGCUACUGGGUUUUCGACUACCGUGUCAGCCUAGAGUUGAUAGCUACGUAAACAGGAGCAACGUCAUAGGCACUAACCUUUAACCCUGAGGGAAGUGCCUCCACUCCCAGGAGUCUAUUUUUCGGAUGGAAUUUCUCAAGAAGUUAAGGGUGCAACGUGCACCACCGGUUAUAACCCUGCAGGCAGUAACU